rnacentral:misc_RNA from 1 species
GAGAGAGAGAGAGAGAGAAUUUGAACAAAAAGGAAAAGCAGCCACUUCUAUGUGAAGAACAAAAUGUUUCUUUUUGCUCUAGUUCCUAGCAACUAGCAAGUGUGCAAGGAUGAGAUAAUUGUCUAAUAUAUUAAGUGAAUUUAUAUGAAUUUCACAGGCUUUGCCUAUAUUGAAUAAUGUACCUAUAAUAAAUAAUGAAGGAAUUCGAGAAUAGAUAUCCUUCAUGUGGGGUGACCAAAAAAAAAGUUGGUUAACUUCCCAGCUCAAAUAGUCAAGCAUCUUGGUCUGAUACAUACUCCCUUCAAAACGUGAUCUUUAACAUUUCGCUGUUUUAUAUUGUCAAAUUACUAUUGCUUUUGUAGGAAAAUGAAAAUAAAUGCAUUCAAUAGCUAACUUUAGAGUAUUAAUUAAUAGUAAGUAUUUGAGAUUCAACUCCGAAGCAAAGCUAAGAUCAUUGUUUAAUUACUAGCUAUUCAAUUUGAAAAUAGCUUAACACUAAUUAACAUAGAAUUAUUAAACCAAUAUCAGGCAAUAUGCACUAGAGCAAAGGCCUUUGCUUAGCAGUUAGUAAAGGCUGAAAUAACGAACAUUGUAAUAAAAAAUGAUGCAAGUUCACAAUCUUCAAGUUGAAUGUUGGAUUGAUAAGUGGUUAAGAAUCAUAACAAUGGGGGAGAAAUUUUGCAAUUUUUCGGUUCCAAGGAGUCAUUUAUCUAUUUGACAGAGGCAUCAUAUACCAAGCAGAAAAGAGCAUCAAAAA